CACGUAGGGGGCUAGCGUUGUCCGGAAUCAUUGGGCGUAAAGCGCGUGUAGGCGGUCCGGUAAGUCCGCUGUGAAAGUCGAGGGCUCAACCUCGAAUGCCGGUAGAUACUGUCGGGCUUGAGUACGGGAGAGGUGAGUGGAAUUCCCAGUGUAGCGGUGAAAUGCGUAGAUAUUGGGAGGAACACCAGUGGCGAAGGCGGCUCACUGGACCGGAACUGACGCUGAGGCGCGAAAGCGUGGGGAGCAAACAGGG
rnacentral:rRNA from 1 species